rnacentral:rRNA from 1 species
GGGCGAAGCCUGAUCCGCAUGCCGCGUGCAGGAUGAAGGCCUUCGGGUUGUAACUGGUUUUGUACGGAACAAAACCGUCUGUCCUGUACGGUCGGUGUCAGGACGGUACCAAUAAGAGUAAGCACCGGUUAACUACAUGCCACCCGCCGCUGUAAU